CCUUCGGUAACUCAGUUGGAAGAGUGCACGGCUGUAAACCGUGAGGUCGCUGGUUCGAUCCCGGCCCGAAGGA
rnacentral:tRNA from 2 species